GCGGCGAACGGGUGAGUAACACGUGGGUGAUCUGCCCUGCACUCUGGGAUAAGCCUGGGAAACUGGGUCUAAUACUGGAUAUGACCUGCUCUCGCAUGGGGGGGGGUGGAAAGAUUUAUCGGUGCAGGAUGGGCCCGCGGCCUAUCAGCUUGUUGGUGGGGUAAUGGCCUACCAAGGCGACGACGGGUAGCCGACCUGAGAGGGUGACCGGCCACACUGGGACUGAGACACGGCCCAGACUCCUACGGGAGGCAGCAGUGGGGAAUAUUGCACAAUGGGCGGAAGCCUGAUGCAGCGACGCCGCGUGAGGGAUGAAGGCCUUCGGGUUGUAAACCUCUUUCAGCAGGGACGAAGCGUGAGUGACGGUACCUGCAGAAGAAGCACCGGCUAACUACGUGCCAGCAGCCGCGGUAAUACGUAGGGUGCGAGCGUUGUCCGGAAUUACUGGGCGUAAAGAGUUCGUAGGCGGUUUGUCGCGUCGUUUGUGAAAACCCGGGGCUCAACUUCGGGCUUGCAGGCGAUACGGGCAGACUUGAGUGUUUCAGGGGAGACUGGAAUUCCUGGUGUAGCGGUGAAAU
rnacentral:rRNA from 1 species